rnacentral:misc_RNA from 1 species
GAACGCACCUUGCGCCCUUUGGCUAUUCCGAAGGGCAUGCCUGUUCGAGCGUCAUUACACCACUCAAGCUAUGCUUGGUAUUGGGCGUCGUCCUUAGUUGGGCGCGCCUUAAAGACCUCGGCGAGGCCACUCCGGCUUUAGGCGUAGUAGAAUUUAUUCGAACGUCUGUCAAAGGAGAGGAACUCUGCCGACUGAAACCUUUAUUUUUCUAGGUUGACCUCGGAUCAGGUAGGGAUACCCGCUGAACUUAAG